rnacentral:rRNA from 1 species
UACGUAGGGUGCGAGCGUUAAUCGGAAUUACUGGGCGUAAAGUGUGCGCAGGCGGCCGAGCAAGUCGAGUGUGAAAUCCCCGGGCUCAACCUGGGAAUUGCGUUGGAGACUGCAAGGCUGGAGUCUGGCAGAGGGGGUAGAAUUCCACGUGUAGCAGUGAAAUGCGUAGAGAUGUGGAGGAACACCGAUGGCGAAGGCAGCCCCCUGGGUCAAGACUGACGCUCAUGCACGAAAGCGUGGGGAGCAAACAGG